rnacentral:rRNA from 1 species
CACGCUACGUGUGAAUCAUCGAAUCUUUGAACGCAAGUUGCGGUAUUCGCAAGAAUACCAUGUUUGGCUGAGGGUUGUUUAAAACCAAAAUUGAGGUGUGUUUUUAUUCUUCGGAAAAGGAACUCCCUUUAAAUGUAUUGCAAGCUUUCAUAUGCGCGACAGCCAUAUGAAAUACUGCUCUUGCUUGAUUUGAUUUAGUUCAGGUCAGGUGGGGGGAGUAAAAGGAAUUGAAAAAAUAGAAUACGGAAAUUGAAUCCAAUUUCCAAAUUCAAAUUUGCAAGAGUGAGAGGCUUCAUUGCAUCUUGCUUGCUUAAAUAGCCAAAUUUGUCUUUGCAGUUGAUUCUAGUUUCUCUCUAUAGUCUUUUUCAUUUCCACAACAAAAUCGCAACCUCAGAUCAAGCAAGACUACCCGCUGAACUUAAGCAUAUCAAUAAGCGGAGG